UGUUAAUCUGUUUCUUUUGUUUGCUCCAGGUCUUUGUCCACCUCUAUAGAUCCAGGGUUGUUGUUAAGUCCAUAUAUCGCCCUGGACACGGAGGAGAGGAGUCUGAAAUUCCAAACCAGGCGCCUCCAUAUUCAAAAGCAGCUAGAGGGCAGCAAAACAGUCAAACGAAGGCUGCAGUUUGUGGUCAGUUUGAUCAGAUAAACUGAAGCCGCUGGAAAAUAGAAUGAAAAGGAGGUUCACGUGUUCAGGAG